rnacentral:rRNA from 1 species
GUGAGGAAUAUUGGUCAAUGGGCGGGAGCCUGAACCAGCCAAGUCGCGUGAAGGAAGAAGGAUCUAUGGUUCGUAAACUUCUUUUGCAGGGGAAUAAAGUGCAGGACGUGUCCUGUUUUGUAUGUACCCUGAGAAUAAGGAUCGGCUAACUCCGUGCCAGCAGCCGCGGUAAUACGGAGGAUCCGAGCGUUAUCCGGAUUUAUUGGGUUUAAAGGGUGCGUAGGUGGUUUGAUAAGUCAGCGGUGAAAGUUUGCAGCUUAACUGUAAAAAUGCCGUUGAAACUGUCGGACUUGAGUGUAAAUGAGGUAGGCGGAAUGCGUGGUGUAGCGGUGAAAUGCAUAGAUAUCACGCAGAACUCCGAUUGCGAAGGCGGCUUACUGGACUGUAACUGACGCUGAGGCGCGAAAGUGUGGGGAGCAAACAGGAUUAGAAACCCGGGUAGUCC